AUACGGAGGAUCCGAGCGUUAUCCGGAUUUAUUGGGUUUAAAGGGUGCGUAGGUGGUUUGAUAAGUCAGCGGUGAAAGUUUGCAGCUUAACUGUAAAAAUGCCGUUGAAACUGUCGGACUUGAGUGUAAAUGAGGUAGGCGGAAUGCGUGGUGUAGCGGUGAAAUGCAUAGAUAUCACGCAGAACUCCGAUUGCGAAGGCAGCUUACUAAGCUACAACUGACACUGAAGCACGAAAGCGUGGGGAUCAAACAGGAUUAGAUACCCUGGUAGUCCACGCAGUAAACGAUGAUUACUAGCUGUUUGCGAUACACAGUAAGCGGCACAGCGAAAGCGUUAAGUAAUCCACCUGGGGAGUACGCCGGCAACGGUGAAACUCAAAGGAAUCGACGGGG
rnacentral:rRNA from 1 species